UAAAAAUUUAUAUUUUAUUUUUUUAAUUAAUAUAAAUAGAUACUCGAAGACAACCAAACUGGUAGUUACUUGAAAGAAAAAAAACAAAAACAAAAACAAAAAAAAGGUUAGUUAUCAGAGCCAACAUCCAUCCCGAUCCGCGACGGCUCCAUCUCCGUCGCCCUCUGCACCCUCGUCGUCCUCCUUGGCUCAUCCAGUUGGGCUUCACCGCCCGCUACACUUUCCCUCACCCUGGACGAGAUCAUUGCCAACCUCGGCCUCUCCCUUCCGGUUCUCUUUGGUGUGACGGUUUCUUUACUGCUUGGCGUGACGGCGAUGUGUGUUGGUGGUGCCAGUUCUCGACUCUUGGUUCUCUGUCCAACAUCGGAGCCAUGGUGGGGAAUAUUUCCAGCGGACAGAUUGCGGAGGACAUCGGGCGCAAAGGAGCGAAGCAGAUCUGACCUUUUUUCUGGUUCCCGUCAGGAUCUGAUCAUGAUGAGUCUUUGACGUGAUUGUUGUUGGAAGGGUUCAGUGUCAGUGUUAGCUCCUAGACAGUAUGUUACCAUCCUUCUGCAAGCGUUUGAUCCAUUUUGGUGGAGUUUUAUGCGGUCCGACUCUUGAUCUAUAGACGUCUCAUCACUUGCCUGAUAGUUCCCAAGAACUAUCAGAGAUUGUUCCUAAGAACUUGAGAGGGGCACUCGGCUCUGUGGAUCAGAAUUCAGUGGCCUGAUCAACCAGGACACCAAUCCCAUUAGGCAUUGAUCUACAUGCACUGCAGCAGCAAAGUGGAAUCAAGUCAAUCAACAGAUACUUCCUGUUAAUAUCAAGAGCCCUGCUAAUCGUUCCAGAAUACUUGCCAACCGGUUGACAUCAUUUGUGAUAACAAUGAUUGCAAAGUUACUUCUGGGCUGGAGCACCGGAGUUUGAAAUGUGUGCUCUCAAGAUACCGAUACCACUCCAAUGAUAAUAUGGGUGCCUGAGACCAAGGGAGGAACUCUCGAGGAAUCACAGUAGUCUAUCAGAGAAAAAGAUGGAAGUAGAAUGAUGAUGGAUUCAAAACUUACUCUUUCAUGUCCUUGGCAAGCUCUAGGUUGAAUAUGUUGUCAUU